UGCACGCACUUGAGCAGCACGCGGGCCUCACCCCCAGGUUCCACUGCGCGCGGGGCUCCAUUGUACAGGGGAGCAGGUCUGCAGCUCUCGGACUGAUUGUGUGUAAUUGCCAGGCGUCAACACUAACAGCCACUUCACGUAGAAAACAGCCCGCUCCUCUCUUUCUCUGUGUGUCUCUUUCCUUUCUACCUGUUCUGAUCGGGAGCUCAAUUGAACGGAUACAGGCCUAUCGGACACGCGGACAGCUGCCCCGCAAACUGUCUUUGUGACGCAUUUGUUAACGGAGAAGAUUCCCUAGUUUACCCACCCAAGUGAGAGAUGAGUUGAAGAGACGAAAAACUGCAGUGUAAUACCGAAUGACCAAUUGCUGUGGUAUUAAAUUGGACACUCAUGAAGAAGGAGACAUGACGAGCAGAGGAUGUCAGAAUUUGGGAAUUCCUAUCUGGACACCUGACAGACUGCAUUCAAUUCAAGCCAGGAGUUCCAAAACUGGGCACCCGUUCAGUGGAAAAAUGUGUCUUGAAUUUUCCACUUUUGACAAA